rnacentral:rRNA from 1 species
CCCUUAGAUGUUCUGGGCUGCACGCGUGCUACACUGAUAUUGCCAAUAUGUCAUUCUUAUCCGAAAUGGAUUGGGUAAUCAAGUAAUGAAAUUUCAUGCUUGGAAUCGGUAAUUGCAAUUUUAUCGUGAACGAGGAAUUCCUAGUAAGCACUAGUCAUCAGCUAAUGUUGAUUAUGUCCCUGCCCUUUGUACACACCGCCCGUCGCUACUACCGAUUGAACGGUUUAGUGAGGGCCUCGGAUUGGUCUCGGCCCGCUCUUUACCGGGCGGCGCCGUUGGUCGAGAAGACGCUCGAACUUGAUCGUUUAGAGGAAGUAAAAGUCGUAACA